rnacentral:rRNA from 1 species
AUGCACUGCCUCGCCUGCGCCGCGCCCGCUGCAGCGGCCGCCGCUCGUGCUCCUGGAAGGCGCUUCGGCCGCCGGAGAGUGGUUGUCGACUGCAUCGCCUCCGCAGACCGCAACGUGGAAGGAACGCCUCCGAGGUUAAGGGAAACAUGUGAACUUUCUGAAAUCUCAAGCAAAACACUGCUGUUUGCGUCAAAGAGGAAGAUUCUUGCAUUUUCGGCCUUUUGCCUUUGCUUACAUUCUUCAAGGUACUUAUCAGCACUUGCUUUGGGUGAUCCAACCGUCAAAAUUGAGGAUGUUACUCCAAAGAUAUUUCCAUCUGGUCCAUUGUUUCCAACCGAGAAACGGAUCGCAGAGCUUUUUGAAACAAAUACUUACUCAGUGGUCAACAUUUUUGAUGCGACACUGCGCCCCCAGCUCAAUGUAACAGGGGUUGUUGAGAUCCCAGAAGGAAAUGGUUCUGGAGUUGUUUGGGAUGAGUCUGGUCAUAUUGUUACAAAUUAUCAUGUGGUUGGCAAUGCUCUUUCGAAAAAUCCAAAGCUUGGUGAAGUUGUCGCACGUGUCAACAUUCUUGCUGCCGAAGGGAUACAGAAAAAUUUCGAAGGAAUAUUGAUUGGUGCAGACCGCGCUAAAGAUCUUGCUGUCCUUAAGGUGGACGCCCCUUCAGAUAUCUUGAAGCCAAUUAUUGUGGGGCAGUCCUCAGCUCUAAAAGUUGGUCAGCAAUGCUUAGCAAUUGGAAAUCCUUUUGGUUUUGACCAUACUCUGACUGUUGGUGUUAUCAGUGGUUUAAAUCGAGAUAUAUUUAGUCAAGCUGGAGUGACAAUUGGAGGUGGGAUUCAAACAGAUGCAGCUAUUAACCCUGGGAACAGUGGUGGUCCUUUGCUAGAUUCGAAAGGGCACAUGAUUGGUAUCAACACAGCAAUUUUUACACAGACAGGAACGUCCGCCGGUGUUGGUUUUGCUAUCCAAUCAUCAACUAUACUCAAAAUAGUUCCUCAGUUGAUUCAGUCUGGAAAGGUUCGACGUGCUGGGCUGAAUGUGGAAUUCGCACCAGAUCCGAUUGCGUAUCAGCUUAACGUCCGUGAUGGUGCUCUUAUACUGAAGGUUCCCCCGGGCAGCACCGUGGAAAAAGCAGGUCUAGUUCCUACAGGCAGGGGUUUUGCCGGCAAUAUUGUCCUGGGCGACGUCAUUGUUGCAGUGGAUGGCAAACCGAUUAAGGGCAAAUCUGACCUCCUGAGGGUUCUAGACGACUACGGGGUCGGAGACACGGUGACCCUGACGAUCAGAAGAGGCACUGAGACAAUUCCGAUAGCCCUGUCGCUGGAAGACGCAAGCGUUUGA